rnacentral:snoRNA from 1 species
UUGUACUUGGUGAGGGCACCUUCUCAAAAGGUCCUUGUAUCUCUCCCAUGCAUCGUAGAGUGUUUCUAAAUCUUUGCACAAAAGAAGAGAUAUCAUUACGUAACUU